GUGGGGAAUCUUGCGCAAUGGGCGAAAGCCUGACGCAGCCAUGCCGCGUGAAUGAUGAAGGUCUUAGGAUUGUAAAAUUCUUUCACCGGGGACGAUAAUGACGGUACCCGGAGAAGAAGCUCCGGCUAACUUCGUGCCAGCAGCCGCGGUAAUACGAAGGGGGCUAGCGUUGCUCGGAAUUACUGGGCGUAAAGGGCGCGUAGGCGGACAGCUUAGUCAGAGGUGAAAGCCCAGGGCUCAACCUUGGAAUUGCCUUUGAUACUGGCUGUCUUGAGUUUGGGAGAGGUGAGUGGAACUCCGAGUGUAGAGGUGAAAUUCGUAGAUAUUCGGAGGAACACCAGUGGCGAAGGCGGCUCACUGGCUCGAUACUGACGCUGAGGUGCGAAAGCGUGGGGAGCAAACAGGAUUAGAAACCCGUGUAGUCC
rnacentral:rRNA from 1 species